CAGUGAAAAUACUUCUAAUCUUAUAGUUAUUGUGAAAUAUCUGUACACAGCAAAAAUCCCAGACCCUGAAAUGUUGCUUUUUGCACAAGCCAUGAUGUUUGCAUUAAAAUUCUCUUCAGUCUUUUGAGAAAGAAAAAAUGGAUUAAAGGAAAUAACAUAAAUAACAGAUUUGCUACUCCUUAGGGAAAAAAAUGUUUAUGAAGAAAGUUAUCAUUGAGCAUUUGAUCAUGAUGUAGGGCCCAUUUUGAAUUCUUCAGUUUGGCCUUUUGUGAAUUAGAUGAGAUCAUUUUCUUUAAUACAAUUUCUGUAAUUUCAUCUCACUCUUAUUUUAGCACAUAAUUAGGAGUCAAGAAUUCUGAGGGAGCAGGUUAUACAGAACCAUAUUUACAACAAUGAUAUAAAUAGGUUUUAUGUACUAUAGCUAUCAAGGUACAGUUACCUUUAAUCAUAACAGGAACUGAAGUGAGAAGAAAAUCUUGGUGAUACUCAUUAGAAUGCUCUUGCUUGCCACAGCCAUAAGUCCAUUAUUUUCAUUUGCCAUUUUUGGGCUGUGACUAAACAGCUAGCAGUAUGAGACUGAAAUGAACCAAUAAGAUAGUCUUAAAUAAAUCAUUACUCCCAGAAAGUUUUAUUUUCAAAAUGCAAUGGUCCUGGCAACCAAAAUCUUUCCUUUUCUCCCAGUGAAUCAUUGACAGGUACACUCAUGGACUGAAAUCAUAAAAGGUAUGAGGUUCUGGCAGGUUUCUCUUACUUUCUCAAACUGUAAUUUUUUGCACAUCUGUCAUACUUCUAUCAACACUUUUUUCCCCUCAUUUUGCAUGUACUAAAGGAAUUAAGUCUAAACAUUCUCCAAGUAGGUCAAUGUUUCUUGUCAUCCCCUUUUUGCAAAACAGAGAAGCAGAAAGACAGAGGUUCAGUGCUGAUAAUUUACAUGCCCUCUGAGUGAGCCUCUUCACCCUCUAUUAAUUCACACAUGCCUUGUCUUCAGAAGACUGGGUUCUGUUCAGGCUGAAAUAAGGUAUCAGUGGUAAUAGUCUUGAUACAGUGCAUCGUGAUAUAGUCUACAGUGUGGACUCUACACUGUUGAUGUAUCAGGAACCGUUUUAUCCUUUGCAGUAUGGCAGAACAAUUUCAGUGACUGCUUUGAGGCUUCUUUAACUUAAAAUUAGGUGCAACUUGUGCUCUCUCAUUGCCUAAGUCAUAGUCAGAGGCGGUGGGUCACCUGGGAUGGCUCUUGAAAUAAUUAUUUAGUUUAGUGAAUAUAAAUAAAUAAAGUAGAAAAAGAAUGACUGAUUUCAAAGGUCUUUUGAUUUUGCUAGGAAAAUCUCAGAUUUUAGGUACAAAGAUCUCCCACCCUCCCUUCCUCCCUUCCUUCCUUCUUUCCCUCCCUCCUUCUUCUAGUAACCUGCUGUCUCUGAUUUUUCCCUGCUCAUGUACUGUUUGACUUCUCUUUAUUUCCCUUUCAGCAUAAUAAGUGUGUUUCAUUGUUCCCCAAAGAAUACGUCCUUUAGAUGCAUGCAAUAUAGGGUUUAUCAACAAGUUAUUGUAGUUUUACUAUCAUGUUGCUGUGUUUCUCUGCAAUUUACAAGUACUUUAAGAAGAUAAAGGUAUUUUAGGGUAAGAAAAAAAAAUUAUAUGAGAUUAAGAGUAACAUCUCUACAGUAUAUCAUUUUAUAUUACUGAGUUGAAAUUUCUAAUAAAUAGAGAAUAUUUAUUCAAGUAAAUAAAGAAAUAAUUUGGAUACUUUUGUAUUACUGAAAGCCUUCAGGUAUUUUACUCUAUUUGAUAGAGCUAUACUGUGAAGCAACUCUACAGUGCUAUGGUUGAAGAUAUGUCAUGAUCUCAGUUGUUCUUAUGAUGAAAGGGAUUGAAUAAAGAAAAGGAACCUCAUGUACUUCAUUUCACCACUGAACUAUACAGUUUGUGUCAGUAGAGCACAAGGGUCUUCCUGACUUCAAAGCUGUUAACUGUUAGAUAGAACAGUAAUCUGGGGAUGCAACAGUAAGGAAGUGUAACUAUUGCGUUAGGUGGCACCAUCCACAAAAUGAGAAAAACUGUCAAAUAGAUCUCUCACUGAUUGGCUGCCAAGCAGAUGAAACUUAACUUCAACACAGUUAAGAGGGAAAUGAAGAAUAUAUAAUAUUCUGGGAAGUUAAGAAAAUCAUUCUUAGAAGGCAGAAUUCAGGAUGCAUGGCUCUGUAUUGUAAUUAUAGUUUUCAAAACUAUAAUUAUCAAAUGCAUUCCUUUCACUUCCUGCAAAUUAGAGGUCUGAGUUGCUGAACCUGACAGCAUGAAAAAGCAAAAAUUUUCAGCUGGAGUUUUUUUUGUUUAUCUGAUAACUGAAUUUCUUCAGAUUUUUUUUUUUCCUGCUUAGAUACAAUAAUUUCUUCUAAAAUUCAGUGAGAUUGCAGCUACAAUCUUAAGCAGGUUUGCAUUUGGAAAGCAACUGUAGAAGGCAAAAUAAAGGCUACUGUAUGACUGCUAAAUACUCCUCUAAGUUAUCAUUAUAGUUAUCUAUGCAUAAGGUGAGUCAAACCACAGAUACAAGCACAGUUUUCAGUUUUAUUGAAUAGUAGCUACAGCAUGAGAUUUUAAGGCUGUUAUAUUUCCAUACUACUACUUCAACAACCGUUGAAUAACAUAUCACUAAAGCAUUUCCAGAUAAUAUUCUCCUUAUAUCCAUAUCAAUGCCACUAGCAUUGUAAAAGUUUUUUUCAUAUAUCUGAGGCAGCAUCUCACUAAAGUCUCAUGGUCAAAGACUUCCUCAGUUUUGAGUUUCAGCUAAGUAGUUAAUAUUUGCUGAAUCAUUUCUUAAUUAUGACACUGGAACAAGUUGUUCCCCUACCACCCAUGUAUCUCCCUCCCACAGAUUACUUCCAUACUUUGUUAUACUUUCCUGAUAAAAUCUAUCAGAUUGCAUGUACCCCUGUGCCUGAUUUUUUUAAAAACAUUUUUGUGUUUGAAAAAUAUUCUGCUUUUCAAGGACAGAGAAAAGAGAAGCCAAAUCCCAAGGAGUGAUAGAAACUUCUGGAUACCAUUUCCUGUAGAGAACAGAAAGUGACGCUUAGAAAGAUACUGAAGGGAGAAGAGCCUUACUUCCCUCUACUUAAGUAUGCAGACUUAUAAAUGAUCUACAUUCUGCAUUCAAAGAGGAAGAAUUCAAGCCUGUGAGAACAUUAUAUUAAGCACAUUGAAGAGAAGAACUUUAAUGGCUUUGGCAUUUACUUAUCUACAUAUUUAUUAUUUUUUUCUGUUUUAUGUUUUCUGAUGACAAUUUUGAGCUGUUUGAAAGAAAUGUAAUCUAGAAAUAGUAUUAUAUAAGCAGUUAUUCUUCUGUAAAUACUGGAAGGAAGGACUUGCAGGGUCAUAAUGAUUGCAUCUUCAUAUUACAAUAAAAGAUAUAAUACUUCAGAAAAGUGAGCCUGAGCAGACUAAGAUUUAUGUUACAGACAAUCAGUUCUUGCUGCCAUUGUAUCUCAACAGUAUUACUUGAGGAUAAUUGUUUAUAAACAUGCUUGGCAAAAAAAUGUAAUAGUGAAUAAAACUAUGUUAAACCCAAAGGUACUUGUAUGUGUGUGUAUAGAUAUUUAAGCAGAUAUCACAGUCAUAAAAAUUGACAGCCUCCAUUCUAUUCUGGAAGCUGAGGAAAACUGCCUCAGCUUUUCACACAUGCCAAAGGCCACCACCACCUGUGGGCACACUGCUUUCGUGCUCAGUUCAGUUCUAAAAUAUUUUCCAUCUGGAAAGCUCACAUCACCCAAUAACAGAGGCACUGCAUCUUUCUGGUUUCUGAGUGCUAUGUGGGAAGGCUGUGCCUCCACAGGUGUAUGGAGGGCAGGAGCAAGGUCUGGCUGCGGCCCUCAGACAGGGAGGGCCUCUGGGCCCCCAGCUGCAGCAGGUUCCAAACAGGAAGCAGGACCUGAAGCAGAGGGUUUGCCUAUAGAGCUGAGAGAGAACUUGGCUGUGAAGAAGGAAGGUUUGGAGGGAGAGAUACGAAUGUGAGGAAGCUCCUUUGUCUUUUCUGAUGAAGCUUGAUGGUGCACUGAGAUGCUUAAAAUAAGCAACUCUUCUCUGAACCUGCAUGUGAAGUACAGAAAAUGAAAACACAACAAAACUAAUGAAAUUUCAACACUUCUUCAAAUUGAGAAAUACUUAUUCCUCAGGGCAGUGUAGUCCUCUGGUCAUCUCAGAGAUUACUGUGGUGUGUAGAUGACUGGGAUGAGUUUGAAGAAAUGGCAUGGCUCUUCAGAAUAAGUUGCAGAGGUGUGUGCAAGUAACUCUGGAAGUCUCUGGGUCAUCUGGGUUUUUAAAGCUGACCAGCUGAUUGUGGAAGGACGAGGCUUUCCCCUGCAAAAAUUGACCUUGUGCCAGUGACAUCAAUGGAAACAUUGCUAUUGACGUUAAUGGGAAUUGGAUCAGAAGCACAGUUGCACCCCUCAUGUAUUAGCACUAGAUAAUGUCAUUUUUAUUAUCACAGUAACUCCUAGCGUAAAGUACGUGUUAAAGCUUCCAUUUACCUCUUGCAGUGGAUACAGCCACUACUGAAAUAUGAUGAUCAAUAAUUUUGUUCCUUUGAGAAAAUCUAGUCAGUGUUUCUUUUUUAUUUAAUUGGAUUAGUAGAAGGAAACCUAGCAGAAGUGAUAAAAAUCAAUAGUUAAAAAUGAAACAUUUACAUACAUUUAUUCAGCCACUUUUAUGCACAAACUUUUUUCCCAGUCACUAUCUUCAGAUGGCAUAAAGUUGAACUUAAGAGAAUAGUUAUGUGUUUUGAUAAAUGAGUCCAAGCAGCAAGCUAAGAAAUGCCUUUUGGGGGAAUAUUAGACCUUUAAUUGAACUAGGAAUUUCUGAAUUAAGCCAAAACCUGGUUCUGGUACUGAAUUUCAGACCAAUAUCCGGACUACAGGAAAAUGACAGUUCAACAUAAACUGCCCGGUGCUUGUAGGCAUUAAGCAGAACCUAGGCCAGUCUUUAGUACUGGAGCUCAAGAGGUCUUACCUAAAUUUGAAGAAUAUUUGAGUCAGAGGAAUUGUGUUCAUUAGUCAUUUUACAUUUAUUGCAAAAUGUGUACUCACAUAAAAAAGUUUUAAUUCUUUUUACGAAUACUAUGUGUACCAAUGCACACUCUUGCCUGUGUAUCAGUAUGUUGCAGUUCUCACUUUUCUGUAAGAAUGUACUGGAAGAUAAAAGCAAGCUAAUGUGUGUUACCAAUUAAUACAACUGUCUAAAUGAAAAUUAUUUUCUGUCCUAUUUUUAACCUUGUUGCAUUUACACUGAUAUGUCUAAUUUAAUAAGCAGUUAAACUGCUCAUGCUAAUUGGUCACUCAUUUGAAUUGAACCAGCAGAAAUCUCUAUAUUAGGAGUUUUUCAGGGAUGUGAAACCAGAGUUUGGUGCUUACCAGGGAAAAUACCCAACAUUUUUUUCUUAAAUUAACCGACACAGCUUAUUUAAGUAAGAUUUGAACCUUUCAAAAUAUUUUUUUCAUGUUUAUUUCUUCUCUCAUUUAAAAUCGCCUAUCUCUACCCUAGAGUAACAGUGACAAUGCAUUGCAGAAACAUUUUUUUUUAAAGACUGUUUGAACAUUUUGUCUUCCAAACAUUACUGUUUGAACACAGAGGUAUGUUCUCCAAUAUGUGCCUGCUUUCUGCCACUUCAUUUUACUCCCUUUUCCAAUUGAAAGUGAUGAAUUUUCAGAGAAGGGGCAAAACAGUCAUGUUUUCAGACCUACCCUGAGAAAAUUUCAAUAGAAUCCAAUUCUGUUUUUUUUUUUUCCUCUUAUCAAAAAUAAAAAAACUUUCACUGUCCAUGAAAGAUUCAUUUGUAUUUUUCAGCCUGUCUUCUGUGUUUCACAUGUUCAUUUUAGCUCUGAUUUCACACCGGGAGUGAGGAACUAUGCUAGCAGUAUUUCAGUUGAGAUACCAAAUAUUGUAGGGAACAUAUGGAAUAAAUUCUAGUCUUAAAAUGAAUGAACAAUUCAACAACACUGGUGGCUGGAAAAAUAACUGAGUUUUGAUAUUUUUCAUGUGCAAUAUACAUUCCUUAUUAUUUUGCUGAAGUAAAUUCUUAAUUCAUUGCUUAUUCAUCUAUAUACUUAUAUACUUGAAAAAUACUUCCACAUCUCAGAUCAAGAUGCUGUAAUUGAAUUUUACUGAAAUCUUGCAUUACUUAGACUACAUUACUUUUGCCAAAUGCACUGUUAAACAUCUGUAAGUAUACUAUGAAGUACUAUCAUAACAAAAUAAUACUUGUCAAGCAAAUGAAUAAAACGCAU